AGUGGAAAUCACAGCAAUCGUCAGCACAAUCAAAGCCCUUCAUACGAGGAUGAUGAAUGAGUACUAAGCUCCGAUGGAGAGAUUUAAAAGAAGCAUAGCGCAGUCUACAAUAAAUAGACAUAAUUACACGAUUGUUUUCCCAAAACACAACACGCCAAUGGCAGUAAUAGACAACUCAUUUUGGAUUCUUACGCAUGUAAUACGUAUACACAUCGGCCUUUUGUUGUAGAAGAAGGAUUCAUUAUAUUUUCAGUGUGGGUGUGUUACCUCGAGCCUGGGAAACACUGCAGCUGCUGUCCAGUCCAGAAUAUGUGUGUUUUAGGCCACCACUUACGUACAUUAUUUGGAUGUUGAUGUGGAUGGGGGGAUAAAUAAAUACAAAGU